rnacentral:rRNA from 1 species
AACGCGAAGAACCUUACCCAGGCUCGAAAUGUAGAGGACAUUUAUCAGAAAUGAUAACUCCCGAAAGGGUCUCUAUAUAGGUGCUGCAUGGCUGUCGUCAGCUCGUGCCGUGAGGUGUUGGGUUAAGUCCCGCAACGAGCGCAACCCUUAUCGUUAGUUGCCAGCGAGUCAAGUCGGGAACUCUAACGAGACUGCCUGGGUUAACCAGGAGGAAGGUGAGGAUGACGUCAAGUCCGCAUGGCCUUUAUGUCUGGGGCAACACACGUGCUACAAUGGCCGGUACAGAAGGCAGCCAAACCGCAAGGUGGAGCAAAUCCUAAAAAAGCCGGUCUCAGUUCGGAUUGUAGUCUGCAACUCGACUACAUGAAGUUGGAAUUGCUAGUAAUGGCGGGUCAGCUACACCGCCGUGAAUACGUUCCCGGGCCUUGUACACACCGCUCGUC